AUUGAACGCUGGCGGCAUGCUUUACACAUGCAAGUCGAACGGUAACAGGGUGCUUGCACCGCUGACGAGUGGCGAACGGGUGAGUAGUGCGUCGGAACGUGCCGAGUAGUGGGGGAUAACGCAGCGAAAGUUGUGCUAAUACCGCAUACGUACUGAGGUAGAAAGUGGGGGACCUUCGGGCCUCACGCUAUUCGAGCGGCCGACGUCUGAUUAGCUAGUAGGUGAGGUAAAGGCUCACCUAGGCGACGAUCAGUAGCGGGUCUGAGAGGAUGAUCCGCCACACUGGGACUGAGACACGGCCCAGACUCCUACGGGAGGCAGCAGUGGGGGAUUUUGGACAAUGGGCGAAAGCCUGAUCCAGCCAUGCCGCGUGUCUGAAGAAGGCCUUCGGGUUGUAAAGGACUUUUGUCGGGGAGGAAAUCCCCAGCGUUAAUACCGCUGGGGGAUGACAGUACCUGAAGAAUAAGCACCGGCUAACUACGUGCCAGCCGCCGCAGUAAAAC
rnacentral:rRNA from 1 species